ensembl:ncRNA Y57G11C.1146 ncRNA
CAUUAAACAUACAACGAGACAAACACACACAGUCGCUAGCAAGGAAAAUAGCACUUCAAUGACCAACAUUUUGAAGUCGUAAAUGUUAUCAUU